AUUGAACGCUGGCGGCAGGCUUAACACAUGCAAGUCGAGCGGGGAUAGGGUGCUUGCACCUGAUUCCUAGCGGCGGACGGGUGAGUAAUGCUUAGGAAUCUGCCUAUUAGUGGGGGACAACGUUCCGAAAGGGAUGCUAAUACCGCAUACGCCCUACGGGGGAAAGCAGGGGAUCACUUGUGACCUUGCGUUACUAGAUUAGCCUAAGUCGUAUUAUCUAGUUGGUGGGGUAAAGGCCUACCAAGGCGACGAUCUGUAGCGGGUCGGAGAGGAUGAUCCGCCACACUGGGACUGAGACACGGCCCAGACUCCUACGGGAGGCAGCAGUGGGGAAUAUUGGACAAUGGGGGGAACCCUGAUCCAGCCAUGCCGCGUGUGUGAAGAAGGCCUUAUGGUUGUAAAGCACUUUAAGCGAGGAGGAGGCUCUUUUGGUUAAUACCCAAGAUGAGUGGACGUUACUCGCAGAAUAAGCACCGGCUAACUCUGUGCCAGCCGCCGCGGUAAAAC
rnacentral:rRNA from 1 species